rnacentral:rRNA from 1 species
UACGUAGGGUGCGAGCGUUGUCCGGAAUUAUUGGGCGUAAGGGGCUCGUAGGCGGUUUGUCGCGUCGGGAGUGAAAACCUUGGGCUUAACUCAGGGCUUGCUUUCGAUACGGGCAGACUAGAGGUAUGCAGGGGAGAACGGAAUUCCUGGUGUAGCGGUGAAAUGCGCAGAUAUCAGGAGGAACACCGAUGGCGAAGGCAGCUCGCUGGGACGGUACUGACGCUGAGGCGCGAAAGCGUGGGGAGCAAACAGG